ensembl:lncRNA
GGUCCUGGCCAGGCUGCCAAGCCUGCUGCUGGGCUCUGCUGCUCACGCCCCGGUGGCAGAGCCCGAAGCUUCCACCGUUCAGGUGACCAGCCCCAGGCCACAGAGUGCGGACGACCUGAACCCUGGGGGAAGACACGGAGGAGCUCGAGCCCAAACCAGUGCACAGCCCCCAGGGCGCGGUCUAGACGCCAUGGCCGCCUGCUCAAAAGCGGGGUCCCUGCACUGGGGACCCACCGGGACAUUUGGGUUUUUCUUUUUAAUGUGGGCUUUUCCUUUAUUUAAAUUUUUUUUUCAGCAUACAAAUUCACAAAACUUUCCUGCUACAAAAAUUUUGUUGAAAAAUAAGGCUUUCUGAGAAUGAAAAUCCGUGUAUAUGGUGAGCACAAGCUCCACCGUGGCCGGACGGUGCGUCUGCCCGUGGCCCUGCCAGGCCCGGCUGCCACCGCGAAUAAGGCAAGGGGGUUGCAGGCAUGUAAAUGGCAAGGCCAUGGCCCGAGCUGGAGGACGCUCCUCUGGAGUAGGGAGACGCGGGCCAGCAAGCUGCCCCUCCCCACGGCUCUCCUGGAGCCCUGAUCCCGCUCUCGUGGUUCAGGCCCCGGGCAGGCGGGCAGCCUGGUACAGCCCUCCUCCCUGGCUCUGAACUCCCCCAGCCUUACCGCAGAGGCAGGAGUUUAUGGGAGUCGGCUGCGAGAGGCAGGGCCCCCACAAAAGUGAGGCUCCUGCAGGGCGAGUCCGCCAGCCCGCAGCUGCCCCGGCGGGACAGCCACCUGGGGUCGGAGAGAGCCUCCUGGGCGAGCGUUCCUCCAAGAGCAGAAGUCUUGGUGCCAGUGGGUUGUGCACGAACGGGCCUCUCUGGGCAGUGUGGGCACCUUCUAGCUGGGGUCUGCUCUCUCCAAUCAAAGACAAACAUGAAACCAACUGACGGACAUUUCUUUCUCUGAGCAGAAAGGACACUGGCCGUCUUCUCCCCUCACUGCUGCUGGUGUGGGCUUGGGCUAGGAGCUUCUGAGGGGGCAGGGACAGCCAAGAGGGAGCUGAGGAGGCUGGAAACAACCAAACUCUGCCCUGCCCUGGGCCAGGAUGGUUUCUGCCCGAAAGCGCCCUGGGGCUGGGCCUGUGGGUAGAUGGGACCGGCUUGCAGGGAGGGCCAUUUCACAAGCUCCUGCUUGUCCUUCCCUGCCAUGAGGCCUGAGAGGGGGGAGGCCUAUCCUGGCUCAGCCCUCUGUCCCUCAGUGUGGCAUGGACCAGGAGAUGGGGCCCUGCCUCCCUUCCCAAAGGAAGGGCUGCUUUAGAGGCCACGCUCCUCUGUGGCCACUCUUGGUGUGGGCCAGGUGCCACACCUCCCACCUCAGAGGCAUCAGCUCAUGCUCUCCGAGUUCACAUGCUGCCAGACAUCACACAACUGCCCCAGCCUCCUCCGGAUUUGCUCUAAGAUGUGGUCUCUACAACCCACCAGGCAGGGAUCAGGCAAGAUGUCAUCGUGGACCCAGAGCCGCCAGCUCUCUGAGUUGGCUCUCCAGGGUCCCAAGGGGAUGUGCCUCUGGUGGGAGCCACCGAGGCAUAGCUGGUUCCUGCCGCAAGGUGGCCCAGCACCCGCACACCCAUUACACUGUCCAGACAGAGGCUUUCAGUGCAACCUCAGAGGGCCACUGAGUUAGGGAUUCUGCCAGCAUCUUAAGGCUGAUUUUUAAGAAAAGCCACCUACAAUCAGAACUUGAGCCAUGACACUUUUGAUGCAGUAAAAAAGUGAAGGUUUAAAUAAAGUUUCCCAAACAGGGUCAUUCUUUAGGAGAAAGAAGGUGAGAACCA